UACAGAGGUCUCAAGCGUUGUUCGGAUUCAUUGGGCGUGAAGGGAGCGUAGGUGGCGGGGCAAGUCAGGUGUGAAAUCUCGGGGCUCAACCCCGAAACUGCACUUGAUACUGCCUUGCUAGAGUACUGGAGAGGAGAUUGGAAUUUACGGUGUAGCAGUGAAAUGCGUAGAUAUCGUAAGGAAGACCAGUGGCGAAGGCGGAUCUCUGGACAGCUACUGACACUGAGGCACGAAGGCCAGGGGAGCAAACGGG
rnacentral:rRNA from 1 species